UACGGAGGGUGCAAGCGUUGCUCGGAAUCAUUGGGCGUAAAGCGUACGCAGGCUGUUCGUUAAGUCGGGUGUGAAAGCCCGGGGCUCAACCCCGGAAAUGCGCCCGAAACUGGCGAGCUUGAGUGCGGGAGAGGGAAGCGGAAUUCCUGGUGUAGAGGUGAAAUUCGUAGAUAUCAGGAGGAACACCAGUGGCGAAGGCGGACUACCUGGC
rnacentral:rRNA from 1 species